UUGGGAUCCUGGCCGGGAUCCUGCUGGGCUACGACGCCUACAUCACCCUCCCCACGCGGCAGGGCCACGGCGCCGCCGGCACUGCAUCGCCGGGCGGUGUCUGAAGAACCCAAGAAACCCCCGGAGACCUCCCCCCGCACAGGGGGACCCCAGCCUUAAAUUAUUGAGGGGUCCCGACGCCGUGGUCCCCCCGGGGGGGUCUGGGGGUCCCACGGGAGCUGCCCCUCCCUCAAACGCCUUCGCAAGUGCCUUGAAUCGCCUGUGCCUCAGUUUCCCCGCGGGGAGACCCCCUCAGGUUUAAAGGCGCCCUCGCCCCUCCUACGGGUUUUGGGGUGCCCGCCUCAGUUUUUGGGGUGUUUCCCCCCCCCUCCCUCAGCCUGCGGGAGGCUUUUGGGGGCAAUCUAUUGGGAAAUAAAUGGUUUUUAUUAUUGCAA